rnacentral:tRNA from 1 species
UUAGUUGAAGCCAAAAAGAGGCAAAUCACUGUUAAUGAUAUAAUUGAAAUAUAAUUUCCCCCUAAG